rnacentral:rRNA from 1 species
GUCUACGCCCAUGCCACCCUGAACAAGCCCGAUGUCUGAUCUCGGAAGCUAAGCAGAGUUGGGCCUGGUUAGUACUUGGAUGGGAGACCACCUAGGAAGACCAGGUGCUGUAGGCA